rnacentral:lncRNA from 10 species
GCUUGACCACCACGUCUGCUCACAGCAAGAGCAAAUGCCACCUGCUUUCUCCACAUGCAUUCAGAACAGCUCUGUUCACACCAGGGGCAUUCUUCCCAGCUGAAACUCUGGCCUGGAGUCUGUUCACACAGCCUGAGCUAAUAAAGAUCCAAGAAGCUCCUGGCUUCACUGAAAACAUCAGAGGCAAAAGAAUGCAGAAUAGGAGCAAUGGAUACUGUCCAGAGGAAAAUGGGCUCCUGUUCGAGCAGACCUUGUUUCACCUCUCAAGCAAGGGCAGAAUGUGGGAAUAUGAGGAGUCCCAAGCUGCCAUGGAAACAAAUGACCACAGGUUGUACCACAGCAUUAUUUCAUCUUUCCUAACCUCUCCCUUUAAAUUCUCAUAUUAUCUGCACUAGUAUAUUUAGUCAUUUAUUUUUUAACCCAAUCAUUGUUUCAGCAUGCAUCAUUUGUCAAAUGCUAUGUUUGGUGUUGGAGAGAUGAUAAAAGGAUAAGGCAACCCUGCUUACUACCUGCUAGAGUCUAUUUAUCUGGUGGGAAAGUCAGGUGUCUAAGCCUAGACUUGAAGGAAGAGUGGGAAUUCUCCAGUAAUUGGGAUGAGGAUGGAAAGAACUGUUUUCUGUAUGAAUAGGAAAUGUGGUGAGGCAGGAGGGUUGGAUUUGAGAGUGCAUAGGAUGAUUUCACAGAAUUCAGUCAUUCAGUGUGACUUGGAUAAGAUAUCACAGGUGGAGAGAUACACGGCUGAGUAUUAGGAGACGAAGCUGGCAGGAGGUGCAGGGCCAGAUUGUGAAUGGCAGUCUAAGCCUCUCAAAGAGUUUGGGUUUUAUGCUUCUCAACACACUUAGGAAAGACAAAGUUUAUACUGUAUAUCACAUACAAUUGUUAAAAUUAAGGAUCAGAUCAUAGAAAUGAAUCACUUGAAGCCAGAUUCUGCAGCCAAAUUUGGCUAAAGAAGCAACAGGGUGGAAGAAAGAGAAAUGAUAGAAAGCAUUUAAGAGUGCAAUUUGCUUUUCUCACCUGAAGGUGCUGGUGCAAGUUAGGUUUCUGACCUCUCCAACAGGCAUCUUGUGCCCUGAUCCUCAUCACCCAUCAAUCAAAGAACAGCCCUGCCUAUCCUACUUCGUAGUUAUGAAGACUGCUACGGUUUUGCUGUGCCCCACCCAAGUCUCAUCUUGAAUUGUAGUUACCAUAAUACCCACGUGUCAUGGUGGGGGGCCUCGUGGCAAGUGAUUAGAUUACAGGGCAGUCCCCCCAUGCUGUUCUCAUGAUACUCAGUGAAUUCUCAUGAGAUCUGAUGGUUUUAUAAGGGGCUUUCCUUCAUUUCAUCUGCACUUCUCUUUCCUGCUGCUGUGUGAAGAAGGACGUGUUUGCUUCUCCUUCCACCAUGAUUGUAAGUUUCCUGAGGCCUCCCCAGCCAUGUGGAACUGUGAGUCAAUUAAACCUCUUUCCUUUAUAAAUUAGCCAGUCUUGGGUAUGUCUUCAUAGCAGCAUGAGAAUGGACUAAUACAAAGACCAAAUGAACAGUGACUGGGAAAGGACUAUGUACUUAUUUAUCUCCUCUCUCCUUUUAGGUCUCUAGCUUGAGAUAGAGAUAUCACUCUAUGGCCCACAAACUAGGAGGUUUUAUUCUUCAGAAGCCAAGAGAUUCUUUCUCUAACAGAGUUUCCCAUGGCCUGGAAGAUAACCUAUGACUCUCUAACCCAGUAAGCAUGGCUGCUGGCCUCUUCUCUGUUCAUUCUACUCAUGAACCCGAUGCUCUGGUCAUGUGGAAUUCCAAAUUUGAUAUGCUAAAAAUGAAGAAACAAAACGAAAUGAUUCCUUGUAUAUUCUCAAUCUACAAUUCCAAUAUUGCUUUAACCUCUACAAACAACCCCUUGAACUCAGAGUGAAAAUAGAGUCACAUUUGUUGGAUGUUUCCAGUUGAUCUCUCAGGUCCCCAGAUGCUUCAUGACUGCAUACAUCACUCCAUCCUAUGACUUCAUUAUUGUACAGUGUUAAAUUUUUGGAGUACUCUCUCAACAGAAAAAAAAAACUGUUAAAAAUGAACAAGCAGAACAACCAUCGCAACAACAAUAAACACAACAUGAGCUUAUGAAAUCCCCAACCUCUAAGAUAAAGCAAGAGGAGGGGUGUCAGAUAAGAGCAUUUCUCUCAUUGCUUUCAGCUGCCAAAUCUGUCCCUUUAGAAACUGCUAAUCUCUGCUCUGACAGGCCAUACGGCUCAUCUUGCCACAAGACCUCACUUGUCCAAUUGUCAUGCCACCUGCCGUGGUUCUUCAAGGGAGAACAUGCUUAUAUAUUCUUAGCUGAGCCAGGCAAAGAGGUCCCCAAUGUGGAGUUCUCUAUUUGAAAAUCCUCAUACUCAGCUCUCUCAGGUAUGUAGCCAAGUUAUCUGCUAGACCCAAGAAUUCUGGUCAAGGAAGUGACUACGUCUGCUAUAUCACCAGCCUAGAAUCCCUGUGCCCUUUCCUUCCUGGGAAUUGACUUAAGGGGGCAGGCAGAUUUUUCAUGCACAAAGGAUCAGACUGCCCUUCCCUUAUAUAAUGGGGUGACAGUCUCAUCCUUCCAAGAGAUGUGUCCUUAGUUCCUCAGUUUUCUUUUAUGGAACUCUAACCUCAGUGACAAAAGAGUGAUUUAUCUUUCCAGUAGAGGCUCAUCAUGGGAUUUCAAAAUAUCUACAUGUAUGUUCAGAUUUGCAAAGUACCCUAUUCUCUUUUUCCCCAGUUCUAGGAGAGACUGCUCUUGAUGAAUCAAAAAUGGUUUCCUGGCAUGUGUCUUGUUGAGAACAGAAGGAAAAACAAAAUUUAAUCACUGGCAUAUAUCCCACCACAAUCAAUUUCACGAUUCUAUAAUGCAAUUGCACCAUUUCUUGCUAAUAUGUGCUAUUAGACAGCAGAUUUGUUGAGAGUGGGAAUUACAUCUUACCUAUAACCAUUAAGGCAUUACACCUUAAUUCUAUCCAUGCACAGUUUCUAAGCUAGAACCUGCUGCGGAGUUGCACUCUAGUGAUUUAUUUAUUAUUUCACUAAAGAAAGAAGACUGAAUGAGUGCAUGGAUCUCCUCCUAGAGUCCUUUCUGGGCACCAUGUUCAAAAUGAAAAAGGUCUUUUAUCUGUGGUCACCAAAAUUAUAUUUCUGAAAAAGAUGCUGAAGUUUGUCUUUGAUAAGCUCUCUUACAUGUAAUUACCUAUGUUCCUGGCUAUCUUUUAUAAAGCAGCAAUAAACUCAAGAUUGUCUAAUAACAAUACCAGUGGAAGUACUAUGUGCAAAGACCCCUUGGGAAUCCCAGGAUGGAAACACCUUCCAUUAAAAAAGCUCUAUUGAGAUAUAAUGGAUAUAAAAAUCUACAUAUUUAGUCUACAUUUUGAUGAGUUUGGAAACAUCUCUACACCAUGAUACCAUCACCACAAUAAAGCUACUAACCCUGUCCAUCACCUCUGGAAAUGUCCUUGUGUCCUUUGUGUGU